rnacentral:rRNA from 1 species
AAAUUGAAGAGUUUGAUCAUGGCUCAGAUUGAACGCUGGCGGCAGGCCUAACACAUGCAAGUCGAACGGUAACAGGAAACAGCUUGCUGUUUCGCUGACGAGUGGCGGACGGGUGAGUAAUAUCUGGGAAACUGCCCGAUGGAGGGGGAUAACUACUGGAAACGGUAGCUAAUACCGCAUAACGUCGCAAGACCAAAGAGGGGGACCUUCGGGCCUCUUGCUAUCGGAUGUGCCCAGAUGGGAUUAGCUAGUAGGUGGGGUAACGGCUCACCUAGGCGACGAUCCCUAGCUGGUCUGAGAGGAUGACCAGCCACACUGGAACUGAGACACGGUCCAGACUCCUACGGGAGGCAGCAGUGGGGAAUAUUGCACAAUGGGCGCAAGCCUGAUGCAGCCAUGCCGCGUGUAUGAAGAAGGCCUUCGGGUUGUAAAGUACUUUCAGCGGGGAGGAAAGGAGUAAAGUUAAUACCUUUGCUC